rnacentral:lncRNA from 1 species
GUCCAUGGGGCUGAUUGAGGAGUUCAGCAUACUGCUCAAAAUAGUAGAAUUAGCUCUAAAGGUAGCGCGUGAACGCGCUUCUGAGAGGGUCGCCGUCUCGUCCCGGGAACGCGCAGUCAGAGGAUGUGGACAGAUGGUAGCAUCACUUCAGCAGCGCAGGUUCACACACAAGUGUGUGUGAGUGUCAGUGUGUGUUCUGUGCGUUCAGGCUGUCUCACUGGGUUGAUUCUUUACAAACUAAAAGCUCCGUGGCGCUCGGUACGGGAGGAAUCUAAACGAAUUGGCCGAUUAACGGGACGUCUUGUCGAGGAUGUGUGGCGUGGACGUGGACCUGGAUGAUGGUCCAGCUGAUGAGGAGAAGGAGGAGGAUGAGUUCUGGACCGGGGAUGCUGUGAAGAUGCUGCCCCCUCCCAUGGCCCACAGUGAGGGCAGUGUGUGGGGUGGCCAUAGGGGCAGGUGGGGCUGCUUGGCUUGUGGAGCAGCUCUCAUCCUCUGGAACCUGUGUGUGGUUUCAGUCGGAGCUCUGCUGCUGCUGGUGGUCUUCUGUGUGGUGCUGCUGCCGUCAGGGCUGCUGCUGUACGCCGGCUUCCUCUGCCACUCCAGGGUCCUCGAUUCCUCCUCUACCAUCUGCCGUUACCUUGACGACAACAGCUGCUCUGCCCUCAUCAUCCUGGGCUUUGUGAUGAUGUCUCCACUAGUGGUCGUGGCUGCUGCGAUCUUCUGCGGGCUGCUCCGAAGGUUUCGGCUUCUGCUUUUCAUCCAGCCGAUCGGGCGUGCUCGGUACCGAGGGAGGCUGCAGGACUGGGUGGGCAGCUUCCACGCCUGGGUCUAA